GAAACUACUGCUUCAUGAGCCAAGCAGUGAGCUUGCUUCCUGCAGGAAGGAGGAGACCUCUCUCAUUAUCUGGGCUCUGGGAGCCAGUCUGUUAGAGCCGUCUCCUUUUGCUGCUCCCCAAGGACAGACGGAGGCGUUUGAGGUAGACAGAGCAGCAGUGUGCAUGCUCCACAGGCUUAUCAACCACUAUCAGCUGGGAUCUGCUGUUUGCUCCAGACUCCACCUUCGCUUGGAAAGCGCUUGCAAUUCCAUGAGGUAAUUCUUCCUCCCAGCCCUAUGGCUUGUUACCACGACCAUGUGCUCCUACCAUAAGGCAGGACCGAAAAAAGCCUUUCCCCUGUAUCCAUGUGCCAGAACUUCCUCUUUCUCCACCCUACUGCUGUGCUCCGCGUGUUUUCGUUCCUGCCAUCCCUAGGGCGGGCGGUCAGGGAGGGUGAAACACCACACGCCGAGCAGAUCCAUCGUUCUCCCACGCCCCGAGCUGCCUGACCAACCGUCCCGCUUGGGCCUGCCCGGAUACCAGGGCCCGCCUGCGCCGAGCCACCGCCGGUUGUGAGUUACCGUAGUGGAGGAAAACCCCUUUUAGUUUUGUAAACACAACACUGCACCAGCUACUAAGAAGAAUAACUGUUACAGCUGAACCCAGGAUGGUUUGACAAAAUGAAGGUGAAAAAAGAAUCAGUGGAGAUAGAGCACACCACAGGCAUGCCUGGACAUCCUGAGCAGCUCAUCAUUGAAGAGGCAGCUAACUAAACUGUAAGCUCAAAGUGAAACCAUUUCAGUGCUCAGAGAUGAACACCUCUUCUCCUUUUUUCACCCUCCUGACGUCCCUAGUUUAGGAUCAAGAAUAAACUAUGCAUUUGUGCCUUUGUAAGCAAGGCUCCCAUGGGGCAAUCCUCGUAAGCACUGGUAGCAAGGAGGCUUAUAAAAAGCAGCUCCAGGUGGAAGUGGGUCUUUUCCUGCUCCUCGCUCUAUCCUGCUGCAAUUCCCAUUCAUCCAGGCCUGGAAAACUGCCUGCCUUUCAGACUGAGCUGCACAUAUAAGAGAGUUGUGGUCACUUGAACCAGGUAUUAGAAUAUCUACCUUCUGUUGAUUCACUGAUGUUCUGGGGAGUUUCCUUGCAUAUGGUGUAGGACGUCAACUUAACAGUGGUCAUUCAACAGCAGAUGUAACUUAAAAAAAUAAAGCCUCCCUCUAAAGAAAACGAGCAGCUUUGAUGCAUCUUUAAACUUGGUUUCAAAGAAGUUGGUGUUAAUACAGCUGCCGUCAUGUUGAGGCUUUUUAGCUUCCCUGUCAGCAUUUCGUAUUUCCCUACAGAAUGCAGAGUGAAUGUGGUGUGUGGUGUAUUAUUUAUUACAUAAGAAACCUGACAGCAUGUGUGGUGUUCUGUCUCAAAAGUCAUGUUGGAAACCUACUGCACCACAGAUUAAACAGUGAAUAUUAGUGCUAA